UACAGAGGUCUCAAGCGUUUGUUCGGAUUCAUUGGGCGUAAAGGGUGCGUAGGCGGCGCGGUAAGUCGGGUGUGAAAUCUCGGAGCUUAACUCCGAAACUGCAUUCGAUACUGCCGUGCUUUGAGGACUGGAGAGGAGACUGGAAUUUACGGUGUAGCGGUGAAAUGCGCAGAUAUCAGGAGGAACACCCGUAGCGAAGGCGGCACUCUGGGCCGAUACUGACACUGAGGUGCGAAAGCGUGGGGAGCAAACAGG
rnacentral:rRNA from 1 species